rnacentral:rRNA from 1 species
GACGAACGCUGGCGGCGUGCUUAACACAUGCAAGUCGAACGGAAAGUCCCUGCUUUUGUGGGGUGCUCGAGUUGCGAACGGGUGAGUAACACGUGAGUAACCUGCCCUUGCCUUUGGGAUAACUUCAGGAAACUUGGGCUCAUACCGGAUAGGAGCUCCUGCUGCUUGGUGGGCGUUGGAUAGUUUCGGCGGUUGGGGAUGGACUCGCGUCUUAUCAGCUUGUUGGUGGGGUAGUGGCUUACCAAGGCUUUGAGGGGUAGCCGGCCUGCGAGGGGGAGCGGAACAGUUAGGACUGAAAUGAGACCCGGACUAGAAUGGUAGGGGGGAGAGGGGAGGGUUAUACAGGGGGAGGGAGGAUAAUCUAGCAAAGCAGUGUGGGGGAAGAGGGGCAGGGGUUAGGAAUCUAAUGCCGCCUGAGACGAGACGAUAAUGACAGUAAUGGGAAAAGAAGCACCGGCUAACUACGUG